GACGAACGCUGGCGGCGUGCUUAACACAUGCAAGUCGAACGAUGAAGCCCAGCUUACUGGGUGGAAGAGUGGCGAACGGGUGAGUAACACGUGAGUAACCUGCCCAUCACUCUGGGAUAAGCGCUGGAAACGGCGUCUAAUACUGGAUAUGAACAGCGGCCGCAUGGUCAGUUGUUGGAAAGAUUUAUUGGUGAUGGAUGGACUCGCGGCCUAUCAGCUAGUUGGUGAGGUAAUGGCUCACCAAGGCGACGACGGUAGCCGGCCUGAGAGGGUGACCGGCCACACUGGGACUGAGACACGGCCCAGACUCCUACGGGAGGCAGCAGUGGGGAAUAUUGCACAAUGGGCGCAAGCCUGAUGCAGCAACGCCGCGUGAGGGAGUGACGG
rnacentral:rRNA from 1 species